rnacentral:rRNA from 1 species
AUUGAACGCUGGCGGCAGGCUUAACACAUGCAAGUCGAGCGGAGUGGCGGACGGGUGAGUAAUGCCUAGGAAUCUGCCUCGUAGUGGGGGAUAACGUCCGGAAACGGGCGCUAAUACCUCAUAUUAUCAGUUGAGCCUAGGUCGGAUUAGCUAGUUGGUGGGGUAAAGGCCUACCAAGGCUACGAUCCGUAACUGGUCUGAGAGGAAGAUCAGUCACACUGGAACUGAGACACGGUCCGGACUCCUACGGACGGCAGAGGUGGGGAAUAUUGGAAAAUGGGCGAAAGCCUGAUCCAGCCAUGCGGGGUGUGUAAAGAAGGUUUUCGGAUUGUAAAGCACUUUAAGUUGGGAGGCGUUACCAGCAGAAUAAGCACCGGCUAACUUCGUGCCAGCAGCCGCGGUAAUAC